UUCCACAAAGCAGUAUCUGUCCCUCAUUCCUUUAGGAACAGGAAUAAGUCUAUAACAUGCAAUAUUUAGGGCUGCCAAUCUUAGAGCAAAGGUUAUAUCGUAGUGUGUGUCUUCUACAAAC